rnacentral:rRNA from 1 species
UUAAGCGAACAAGCGUACACGGUGGAUGCCCUGGCAGUCAGAGGCGAUGAAGGACGUGCUAAUCUGCGAAAAGCGCCGGUAAGGUGAUAUGAACCGUUACAGCCGGCGAUGUCCGAAUGGGGAAACCCAGUGUGAUUCGUCACACUAUCUCAGCAUGAAUACAUAGUGCUGUGAGGCGAACCGGGGGAACUGAAACAUCUAAGUACCCCGAGGAAAAGAAAUCAACCGAGAUUCCCCCAGUAGCGGCGAGCGAACGGGGAACAGCCCAGAGCCUGAAUCAGCUUGUGUGUCAGUGGAACGGUCUGGAAAGGCCGGCGAUACAGGGUGACAGCCCCGUACACGAAGGCACACAGGCUGUGAGCUCGAUGAGUAGGGCGGGACACGUGAUAUCCUGUCUGAAGAUGGGGGGACCAUCCUCCAAGGCUAAAUACUCCUGACUGACCGAUAGUGAACCAGUACCGUGAGGGAAAGGCGAAAAGAACCCCGGCGAGGGGAGUGAAACAGAACCUGAAACCGUGUACGUACAAGCAGUGGGAGCCUUCGUAAGAGGGUGACUGCGUACCUUUUGUAUAAUGGGUCAGCGACUUAUAUUCUGUAGCAAGGUUAACCGUAUAGGGGAGCCGAAGGGAAACCGAGUCUUAAUUGGGCGUUAAGUUGCAGGGUAUAGACCCGAAACCCGGUGAUCUAGCCAUGGGCAGGUUGAAGGUUGGGUAACACUAACUGGAGGACCGAACCGACUAAUGUUGAAAAAUUAGCGGAUGACCUGUGGCUGGGGGUGAAAGGCCAAUCAAACCGGGAGAUAGCUGGUUCUCCCCGAAAGCUAUUUAGGUAGCGCCUCGUGAACUCAUCUUCGGGGGUAGAGCACUGUUUCGGCUAGGGGGCCAUCCCGGCUUACCAACCCGAUGCAAACUACGAAUACCGAAGAAUGUUAUCACGGGAGACACACGGCGGGUGCUAACGUCCGUCGUGAAGAGGGAAACAACCCAGACCGCCAGCUAAGGUCCCAAAGUCAUGGUUAAGUGGGAAACGAUGUGGGAAGGCACAGACAGCCAGGAUGUUGGCUUAGAAGCAGCCAUCAUUUAAAGAAAGCGUAAUAGCUCACUGGUCGAGUCGGCCUGCGCGGAAGAUGUAACGGGGCUAAACCAUGCACCGAAGCUGCGGCAGCGACACUAUGUGUUGUUGGGUAGGGGAGCGUUCUGUAAGCCUGUGAAGGUGUGCUGUGAGGCAUGCUGGAGGUAUCAGAAGUGCGAAUGCUGACAUAAGUAACGAUAAAGCGGGUGAAAAGCCCGCUCGCCGGAAGACCAAGGGUUCCUGUCCAACGUUAAUCGGGGCAGGGUGAGUCGACCCCUAAGGCGAGGCCGAAAGGCGUAGUCGAUGGGAAACAGGUUAAUAUUCCUGUACUUGGUGUUACUGCGAAGGGGGGACGGAGAAGGCUAUGUUGGCCGGGCGACGGUUGUCCCGGUUUAAGCGUGUAGGUGUGUGUUCCAGGUAAAUCCGGUUCACUUUAACACUGAGGCGUGAUGACGAGGCACUACGGUGCUGAAGUAACAAAUGCCCUGCUUCCAGGAAAAGCCUCUAAGCAUCAGGUAACAUCAAAUCGUACCCCAAACCGACACAGGUGGUCAGGUAGAGAAUACCAAGGCGCUUGAGAGAACUCGGGUGAAGGAACUAGGCAAAAUGGUGCCGUAACUUCGGGAGAAGGCACGCUGACAUGUAGGUGAAGCCCCUGCGGGUGGAGCUGAAGUCAGUCGAAGAUACCAGCUGGCUGCAACUGUUUAUUAAAAACACAGCACUGUGCAAACACGAAAGUGGACGUAUACGGUGUGACGCCUGCCCGGUGCCGGAAGGUUAAUUGAUGGGGUUAUCGCAAGAGAAGCUCCUGAUCGAAGCCCCGGUAAACGGCGGCCGUAACUAUAACGGUCCUAAGGUAGCGAAAUUCCUUGUCGGGUAAGUUCCGACCUGCACGAAUGGCGUAAUGAUGGCCAGGCUGUCUCCACCCGAGACUCAGUGAAAUUGAACUCGCUGUGAAGAUGCAGUGUACCCGCGGCAAGACGGAAAGACCCCGUGAACCUUUACUACAGCUUGACACUGAACAUUGAGCCUUGAUGUGUAGGAUAGGUGGGAGGCUUUGAAGCGUGGACGCCAGUCUGCGUGGAGCCAACCUUGAAAUACCACCCUUUAAUGUUUGAUGUUCUAACCUGGCGCCGUGAUCCGGCGUGGGGACAGUGUCUGGUGGGUAGUUUGACUGGGGCGGUCUCCUCCCAAAGUGUAACGGAGGAGCACGAAGGUCAGCUAAUCCUGGUCGGACAUCAGGAGGUUAGUGCAAUGGCAUAAGCUGGCUUGACUGCGAGAGUGACGGCUCGAGCAGGUGCGAAAGCAGGUCAUAGUGAUCCGGUGGUUCUGUAUGGAAGGGCCAUCGCUCAACGGAUAAAAGGUACUCCGGGGAUAACAGGCUGAUACCGCCCAAGAGUUCAUAUCGACGGCGGUGUUUGGCACCUCGAUGUCGGCUCAUCACAUCCUGGGGCUGAAGUAGGUCCCAAGGGUAUGGCUGUUCGCCAUUUAAAGUGGUACGCGAGCUGGGUUUAGAACGUCGUGAGACAGUUCGGUCCCUAUCUGCCGUGGGCGCUGGAGAAUUGAGGGGGGCUGCUCCCAGUACGAGAGGACCGGAGUGGACGCAUCACUGGUGUUCGGGUUGUCAUGCCAAUGGCACUGCCCGGUAGCUAAAUGCGGAAGAGAUAAGUGCUGAAAGCAUCUAAGCACGAAACUUGCCCCGAGAUGAGUUCUCCCUGACUCCUUGAGAGUCCUGAAGGAACGUUGAAGACGACGACGUUGAUAGGCCGGGUGUGUAAGCGCAGCGAUGCGUUGAGCUAACCGGUACUAAUGAACCGUGAGGCUUAACCUU